rnacentral:tRNA from 2 species
GGCUGGGUAGCUCAGCUGGUUAGAGCGGUGGAUUCAUAACCCACAGGUCGGCGGUUCAAGUCCGCCCCCCGCCACCA